AGGAAUUCUAAAGAAAAGUAAAAUUGGGUACAUGUCCCAAGUGGUUCAGGUUAAUGCCUCCCAACAUUUUUUAGUUUAAAACCUCAGAAAGACUCCAAAACACCAUCUCCUUAGGUUUAACCCUAACUCAAGAUUAAGAGCCCAUGGUCUCUCCACUCCACCAAUCUCAUUAUCUGCAGGUGUUGUGUUGGGCGCCAUGAGGAAAAGAGAGAGAUGCGUACCCAGAAUUGGAAUUGCAGGAUGAAACGGCCCUGCCUCUUGAGCUCCAUCUCAGCUCUCCUUCCACUCUGCUAGCUUUGCUAACAUCUCUUCAGCCUUCAAAACCCCAACUACUACCUCAUCUGGGAAGCCUUCUUGACUACCCCACCUCCAUCACGACCACUUUGGAGUUCACCUGCCCUCCUCCGGGCCUCCUGGGCCUCACACAGGCCUCAGUCAGCCCCCAUCACCCGCUGUAGGGCAAGUAACCUGUCUACACAGCUGCUCCUCCUCGGCACUCUGAGCACCUUCAAGGUCUAACGAUCCAGAGAGUUCCAGAAUGGAUUCAUGUGACUUGGCCUUUUUGGAACUGGACCACCUUGGAGAUCAUCUGGGAGAGGGCACUGAGACCUGCAGAAAUGGAAUGGCCUACCCAGGACACAUCUAGAAGAUUAAGAGACACUGGGGUAACAUAGGGAUGCUGGACUGGGAGUCCUAGACCUCCUGGUCCUGGCUCUACCAUGACGCAUGCUGCCCUGCUGAGCCCACGCCUUUGCCCCUGGGACGCAGAACAUGCCAGGCAGGCAUCUCCCACCUGCCUCUCCAUGCGGGCAGGGAGACUAGCCCUCACUGAGUCCCGAGCUCUGGGACACAAGCUUUACCUCCCUCGUUUUAUUUGAUCCUCCCAACAAGCCUGUGUCAUCUUACAGGUGAGAAAACCGAGGCCUGGAGAAGUCCAAGAAUUCUCCUAAACUCAUCUAGCUAAUGGUAGUGCUGGGUUUCAAACCAGCUUCCUCUGACUCCCAAGCCCAAGCCCUCUCCAUUCCACCAACAGGCCCCUGAUCUCUGCGGCCCAGGUUCCUCCACAUCUAGCUCUCCUGGGACCUCAAGGUAGCAGACGUCAGUGCGCGUUGCUGCUGAGUCCGGUGCUCACCAUUAGGCAGACAAGGAGACCCGAGUGGUGCAGGCCUGAGGCCCUCCACACUAAGGAAGGCGGGCGUAAGCAGAGUGGGGAAGAGGCCACUGUCGACAGCUCUCCUCUGGGGCACCGAAUCUCAGGGGCACAACAAAAGAGAGGGAGCUGUUUAAUAAUUACAGCUGUCUUGUUCAGAGUGACAGGGAGAGAAAUAUUGCUGGGGAGGAAAGCAUAAAAGAAAGAGGCAAAGGAGGACUGGAGUAGCCUUCAGGGAGGGUUGCAUGGAGCCAAGGAGGGCGCGAAGGUCCAUGGUGAGCCCUGGCGUCCAGCAGGUGAGCCUCCUGCUGCCUGCUGCUUUCCUCCAUCCCGCACCCCUCAACAGCUGCCCCGGAUGCUGCAUGUCUGCAGGCCACAGGCCUGCUCCCAAGGAUGCCCGCGUCCACGCAGGAGGAGCAGGGACCCGCCCUCCUCUCUCGGAUCUCUGUUCUUUUUAUAACCAAGCUUGCAAGCAGCAAGGGAUAAGCUGAGCCAUUAGAAGGGUCUCACCCCAGCUCCUGUCUUGGUCCCUGCAGCUGGUCAGAGGCUUCUGCAGCCACUGGAACAUUGCUGUCUGGACCCUGCCCCCACCCCCAGCAGCCUGGGCGGUCCACUGCUUUACCUCAUCCCGUUUCCAUGAAUACCGGGUGCUCAGCAAGGACAGGGGAGCCCACUGAUGGAACCCUGAGGGUCUCCUCUCUAGUUGUGAGCCAGCUUCGAAGGUGACAGAUGAGCUAAUUAACCCCAGGAGCCACCAGGCCCGCCCCUCCCUGUCUUGUUCAUCCCAGCUCCUCCCAACCCAUCUUUCUGGCCCAGACCCCGUAUCUUCGUUGCAGCCUCAAAUAGCUGUGUUUCCGAAAUGUAAAGUGCGGUUUCUCUUCUAAUUACAAAAAUAACAGCUGACAAACACGUGCCAGAGCUCCCCUCUUUUUCUCCUGAGCUAACAGCCCCAUUAGGACAGAUCCUGUUAUCGUCUAUGCCCUCUCCAUAUAUUUUAUGGAACAGCCUCAAAAGUGCUCUGCGUCGGGCUCUCCCUCCCUCUCUUUCUUUUUCAAGGCAAUGGCUUUGUGAAAGCUGAGGGGAAAAAUAAAGCCUUUUACUAAAAUGUCACUCUGGGAAAAGGGGGGAAAUUUCCUAAUAGGCCAUGGAAGGCUUGCUUUUUUUUUUUAAGUGUGAUAAAUUUGGCCUGUCUUAAAAAGACAGCUCACUGUUGCUUAUCAACUGUGAUUUGACCAGAUAGCCGUUUCAAAAAAUAGACACUGGUCUUUUUAUAAUAAAUGAAAGCAAUAAAACCAAGAGCUGGGCCAGAACUAUAAUUAAGAAUCAGAAGCUGAAAAGGGUGGGUGUGUCACUGCAGGGCAGAGUCCAGUCAUGGGCAGGAGGAGUGGGCCAGGCUGGCCGGGAGGCCUGGGGACAACCCCCAUCCCAAGGGGAGGUGCCUCUGUUGUCCCCACUCUCCCCUUCUUUUUCCUUCUCAUUUUGGGAGAGUUCCUUCCCUGGGCAGAUGGACAGAUGGGCCCGGGGGUGGGGAGGAUGGCCGAGGAGGGGCUCAUCGCCCACCCCCUACGCCAAAUCCAGCGCCUAUUUGAAACGCAGCCAGAAAUCCCCCUCCCUGCUCUGUCUGUGCACAAUAAACGUCCCAGACUCGCUACUCCUAAAGAGCUGUCUGUUGAACACAAUCUCCAUCUCAAGCGGCUGUUUUGCAUUUCCUUUUGGCUUUAUUAAAACUGAUUUUCUAUUUGCACUAUAAAAACUGAUCUGAUUAAAUUUCCAUUCUUCCCCAAAGAAAAGACUCUUCUCUGUCUCUCUCUCACCCUCUCUCUCCCUCUCUCCCAUCUCUGUCUCUCCAUCUCUCCCCUGUCUCCCUCCCUCUCCGAUCUCCCUCUCUCUCCUCUCUUUCUCUCUCUCUCCCUCUCUCUCUUUCUCUCCUCUCUCUCUUCCUCUAUCUCUCCUCCCUCUCUCUCUGUCUCCUUCUCUCCCCUCCAUCUCUCCUUCACCUUCCUAUCUUUUCUCCCGCCCGCUCUACCUCUUCCUCCUUUUUUUCUUUCCCUAAACAACUAAUUCUUGAUCAUUCUCCCUCCUCAUCUCUCUCUUAUCCCCGCACAGGGUCCCCAUCAC
rnacentral:lncRNA from 1 species